CAGUCGCCACGGUAAUACGGAGGGAGCUAGCGUUAUUCGGAAUUACUGGGCGUAAAGCGCACGUAGGCGGCUUUGUAAGUUAGAGGUGAAAGCCUGGAGCUCAACUCCAGAAUUGCCUUUAAGACUGCAUCGCUUGAAUCCAGGAGAGGUGAGUGGAAUUCCGAGUGUAGAGGUGAAAUUCGUAGAUAUUCGGAAGAACACCAGUGGCGAAAGCGGCUCACUGGACCAUUUCUGACGCUGAUGCACGAAAGCUAGGGGAGCAAACAGGAUUAGAUACCCGGGUAUCCCUGUUUCUUAUACA
rnacentral:rRNA from 1 species